UAACAAAGGCGGCUUGUUGCUUUGUUUUUUUCUUACGAUUAAACAAAGAGGAAAGUCCGGACACCAUAGGGCAGCAUAGCGGCUAACCGCCGUCCACAGCGAUGUGAGGACUAGUGCAACAGAAAGCAAGUACAGUACGGCUGUAGUGAAAUCAGGUAAACUCUAUGCGGUGCAAUGCUAAGUAUAUCGGCAACUAAGGGUAGCUCGUCCAAUGCCGAGGGGUAAGCAGCUAAAGCUUAAUAGCAAUAUUAAGCAUAGAUAAAUAACAGGCGUUCUUAAAUUUGUUUAGAAUACAGAAUCCGGCUUAUAGCCUUUGUUAUUUU
rnacentral:RNase_P_RNA from 1 species